rnacentral:pre_miRNA from 1 species
CAACUACUCCCUCCGUCCCAAAUUUCUUGUCUUAGAUUUGUCUAGAUACAGAUGUAUCUAAUACUAAAAUGUGACUUGAUACAUCCGUAUCUAAAAAAAAUCUAAGACAAGAAUUUUGGGAUGGAGGGAGUACUUU